rfam:Gammaproteobacteria bacterium BRH_c0 BRHa_1003815, whole genome shotgun sequence.
UAGGGUGUCUGUACCUAUGCGCGGACAUCCCCGAAUCAAUCAUCGCAUAGUGGAGAAAGUAUCAUGGCACUGAGUGCACAGGAAAAAGCAGCAAUUACCAAAGACUACGCCCGGGCGGAA